rnacentral:tmRNA from 1 species
GGGGACGAUAGGUCUUGACAGGUCAGUCGAUUAAGUUAGCUUAAUCAGGUUGGCUUGGACUCGGGUUCGAUUCCCGACGCCUCCACCA